rnacentral:rRNA from 1 species
UACAUGGAGUCCAAGCGUUAUCCGGAUUUACUGGGCGUAAAGCGUUCGUAGGUGUCUAUUCAAGUCUCCAGUGAAAUCCCUCGGCUCAACUGAGGAGUGGUUGGAGAAACUGGAUGGAUAGAGUAUGGCAGAGGCAGACGGAAUUCCUGGUGUAGGGGUAAAAUCCGUUGAUAUCAGGAAGAACACCAGUGGCGAAGGCGGUCUGCUGGGCCAUUACUGACACUGAGGAACGAAAGCGUGGGGAGCGAACGGG